GGGCCAUAGCUCAGCUGGGAGAGCGCCUGCCUUGCACGCAGGAGGUCGGCGGUUAAA
rnacentral:tRNA from 1 species